ACUAAAGGGGCCGGCCAACUAAUUGGUAAUGGGAUUGUUUAACUAGUCCUUAAGUGCUAACUAGAUUAGUUGAACAUUAAUGGUUAGUGGAAGGGUAAUGAUGGAUUUGGCGGCAUUGUGGCAUGCGUGCUUGUUGAUUGGGCCGGCCAAAGUGAGGGGGAAAUGUGAGAGGAAGAGUGACGGUGAGUGAAAAAGAGAGAAGGAAAUUCAGCUCAUUUCCUUCUUCAUUUCUUUGGUUCUUACGAUGGUGACGGGAGAGGAAAUCAAAAUUUUCAUGUUCAGAAGGUAACUUCUCAAGCUUUGCUAACAAAGAGGGAGACGGUCAAAGGAAUAAAGGGAAGGGCAAGUUAGUGUAGGAGGAAUCGGCUUUGGAGAAAAUGUUGCUGGUUCUUUCAUUUUGUUCUCGGACUUCAGGGGACUCAGCCAGCCUUCAUUUUGUAGCUUUUGGUAAUAUGUACAUACCGGGGCAACUCGCUCUAUUAGUUCCUGGGGAAUUAAAUGUACUUCAUCCUGUUUAGUCCAAGUUUACAUUUAAACUCUUAAAUGUAAAUUUGACAAGUAGUAAGUUCAUUGCAUCUCUCUUCAAAUUUCACAA